rnacentral:tRNA from 1 species
GGGGAUUUAGCUCAAUGGCAGAGUGCCUGCCUGGCAAGCUCAAGGUUGUGAGUUCAAUCCCCG